CUUUACUGUAGCUUUGCAUUGGACUUUGAACCGGUUUGUGUAGGAUAGGUGGGAGACUGUGAAACCGGGACGCCAGUUUCGGUGGAGUCAACCUUGAAAUACCACCCUGAUUUGUUUGAGGUUCUAACCUUGGUCCGUGAAUCCGGAUCGGGGACCGUGCAUGGUAGGCAGUUUGACUGGGGCGGUCUCCUCCCAAAAGGUAACGGAGGAGUACGAAGGUACGCUUAGGGCGGUCGGACAUCGCCCAUAAAGUGCAAUGGCAAAAGCGUGCUUGACUGCGAGACCCACAAGUCGAGCAGGUACGAAAGUAGGUCAUAGUGAUCCGGUGGUUCUGUAUGGAAGGGCCAUCGCUCAACGGAUAAAAGGUA
rnacentral:rRNA from 1 species